AUCCCGCCAUCACUGAUGCUAUACCUCGCUGCCUUUUGCUCCUAGUUUUUUCUUUCAUUUGUGUCGGCAACAAGAAGAUUGGUGUUACCAGUGCUGAGUUCCAGGGCUGUAACACAGGUGUUAUUCACCGUCACAAGGUGAAUAAACAGGUGCUCUCGCCGCCGUCACAAGGUAACACGGGUCUUAGAAACCGUCAGUAGGUAAAACAGGUCCUCAUCACUGUCACAAGUUAAGUGUCGGUUACAGUAUGUCGAGGGGCGUACACCACCUGCAGGACCUCUUCUAGGGAUAUACACACCACCUGCAAGGUAAGUGCGAUUUACAGCUGGUCGAUAGACAUACCCCCUACUAGGUAAGUGUGGGUUUUCAGCUGGUCGAGGGGCAUACACCACCUGCAAGGUAAGAAACAUUUUCAGCUGAUUGAGCCCCUCAAGGGAGGUUCCUUGACGCUGGUGGGGGGCUCUUGAUCUAGGGAACUGGAUCUGUGCUCUAGUUCGAUGAAUUAAGCCUGAACACCUUCCAUCCCCAUGAUUAUAAUAAUAAUAAUCAGCUGGUUGAGCAACGUACACACCACCUGCCAUGUACAUCAAAUUAUUAGGUUCUAAUA